rnacentral:rRNA from 1 species
CCUACGGGUGGCAGCAGUGAGGAAUAUUGGUCAAUGGACGAGAGUCUGAACCAGCCAAGUAGCGUGAAGGAUGACUGCCCUAUGGGUUGUAAACUUCUUUUAUAUGGGAAUAAAAUGUUCCACGUGUGGGAUUUUGUAUGUAUCAUAUGAAUAAGGAUCGGCUAACUCCGUGCCAGCAGCCGCGGUAAUACGGAGGAUCCGAGCGUUAUCCGGAUUUAUUGGGUUUAAAGGGAGCGUAGGUGGAUUGUUAAGUCAGUUGUGAAAGUUUGCGGCUCAACCGUAAAAUUGCAGUUGAAACUGGCAGUCUUGAGUACAGUAGAGGUGGGCGGAAUGCGUGGUGUAGCGGUGAAAUGCUUAGAUAUCACGAAGAACUCCGAUUGCGAAGGCAGUUCACUGGACUGCAACUGACACUGAGGCUCGAAAGUGUGGGUAUCAAACAGGAUUAGAUACCCGGGUAGUC